AAAAUGCCAGUUGUUUGCAGCCUGAUUCAGGAAGGUAUUCAAGCACAUGAAGAGUCCUGCUGAUUUCAGGGUUUGAAGUGAGGUAAAACCUGAAGUUAUUCCACUGAAGUUAACAAGUUUGAGAAAUGUGGCCUUUUCUGUCUGAAGAAUGUUUUCUGCUGGAUAGAAGGGGGCAAGGGAAGUUGUCCUGUUGGGGUGAGCCGGCACCCCUGAGCUCUGCAGUCAUGAGAAAAAUCAUCCUGGGAUGGAAUUCUAGAAAAACAAUCCAAAGCUGAGGUUUUCAGCAGUCUCCAAACUUUGGUGCCUGAGUCCUUUGGUGCUCAUGAGGCAGCCUUGAAGCACUUGGAAUACCCUACUGACACAACGCAACUGGCGCUCCUCCAGACCCCGUGAGUGAAAUAAACACAGGCUCACAGAACAGCUGAGGUUGGAAGGGAUGUCUGCAAGUCAUCUAGUCUGACCCCCAGCUCAAGAAGGUCCACCCUAGACCACAUUGCCCAGGACCAUAUCCAGCUGGCUUUUUAAUAUCUUCAAUGAUGGAGACUCCA